CCUACGGGAGGCAGCAGUGGGGAAUAUUGGACAAUGGGCGAAAGCCUGAUCCAGCAAUGCCGCGUGAGUGAUGAGGGCCUUAGGGUUGUAAAGCUCUUUUACCAGGGAUGAUAAUGACAGUACCUGGAGAAUAAGCUCCGGCUAACUCCGUGCCAGCAGCCGCGGUAAUACGGAGGGAGCUAGCGUUGUUCGGAAUUACUGGGCGUAAAGCGUGCGUAGGCGGUGAUUCAAGUCAGAGGUGAAAGCCUGGAGCUCAACUCCAGAACGGCCUUUGAAACUAGAUCGCUAGAAUUAUGGAGAGGUAAGUGGAAUUCCGAGUGUAGAGGUGAAAUUCGUAGAUAUUCGGAAGAACACCAGUGGCGAAGGCGACUUACUGGACAUAUAUUGACGCUGAGGUACGAAAGCGUGGGGAGCAAACAGGAUUAGAUACCCUGGUAGUCCACGCCGUAAACGAUGAUAACUAGCUGUUCGGGCUCUCAGAGCUUGAGUGGCGCAGCUAACGCAUUAAGUUAUCCGCCUGGGGAGUACGGUCGCAAGNUUAAAACUCAAAGGAAUUGACGGCUGAGACCGNGCGAGACGACGACGAGGGAGAGG
rnacentral:rRNA from 1 species